CCCUGUGGUGGUACAUCAUCCAGGGCUGGGGUUUGCCAAUGAUUGUCAUUGUAUCCUGGGGCUUGGCAAAAUACUUCUAUGAGGAUGAAGGCUGCUGGGAGACAAGGGUACAUGACUGGGUUUGGUGGAUUCUCAGA